GCCCGGACCACUCGUGGUAGAAAUUUGAAGUAGAUCGUUUGCAGUAGAAACUCAGAGUGAGUUGCUCGCGAUGGGAGCUCGGAGUUCGGCUCCCGUAGGAGUCCGAAUGAAGUCUUCCUGCAGUCGAAGUCAGGGACGAAGUCUGGCUCUCGUAGGAGUCUGGACGAAAUCUACCUGCAAUUGAAGUUGGGGGCGAUGUUCGG
rnacentral:lncRNA from 1 species